GAAUAUGUUGAUUAUCGGAGAGUUGGAUGCUUUGAAAUGGUUUCACCAAGGUGUUUUUUUUCCUUCACAGAGCGCUUUGCUAUGGGGAGAAACGAGCCCAGCAAGGCUGAGGAAAAGAUUGGAUAUCCAUAUCCGUUGGAGGCUCCAAGCAAACACACUCAGAGGGUGACGAGAGCUCAGCAGACCCCAGGAUUGGCAAGUCCUCAAGCCCUCUGCUCUCCUUUACGGAGGACCCCAUGCACGACGGUGCCCUCCACCACCGACGACACGUCCACGAAGCGGCUGCUUCACUCUCUCACCA
rnacentral:lncRNA from 1 species